rnacentral:rRNA from 1 species
CCCUUAGAUGUUCUGGGCUGCACGCGCGCUACACUGAAGCGUUCAACGAGUAUUCACCUUGCCCGGGAGGGUUGGGUAAUCUUUUGAAAACGCUUCGUGAUGGGGAUAGAUUAUUGCAAUUAUUAAUCUUCAACGAGGAAUUCCUAGUAAGCGCGAGUCAUCAGCUCGUGCUGAUUACGUCCCUGCCCUUUGUACACACCGCCCGUCGCUCCUACCGAUUGAACGUUUUAGUGAGGUAUUUGGACUGGACCUUCGGAGGUUCGCGCCUCCGUUGCUGUUCGGGAAGACUCCCAAACUUGAGCGUUUAGAGGAAGUAAAAGUCGUAACA